rnacentral:piRNA from 1 species
UAGAUUUCUAGCCUCCAGAAAUUUGAGAA